rnacentral:rRNA from 1 species
GACGAACGCUGGCGGCGUGCCUAAUACAUGCAAGUCGAGCGGACUGAUUAAGAGCUUGCUCUUAUGACGUUAGCGGCGGACGGGUGAGUAACACGUGGGCAACCUGCCCUGUAGAUCGGGAUAACACCGAGAAAUCGGUGCUAAUACCGGCUAAUAUCUGAGAUCACAUGAUCUUAGGUUAAAAGAUGGCUCCGGCUAUCGCUACAGGAUGGGCCGGCGGGGCAUUAGCUAGUUGGUAAGGUAAUGGCUUACCAAGGCGACGAUGCGUAGCCGACCUGAGAGGGGGAUCGGCCACACUGGGACUGAGACACGGCCCAGACUCCUACGGGAGGCAGCAGUAGGGAAUCUUCCGCAAUGGACGAAAGUCUGACGGAGCAACGCCGCGUGAGUGAUGAAGGGUUUCGGCUCGUAAAGCUCUGUUGUUAGGGAAGAAACAGUACCGAACGAACUAGGUCGGUACCUUGACGGUACCUAACCAGAAAGCCACGGCUAACUACGUG